AAAUGUGAGGGCUUAAUUGUAAAGAAAAUUUGAGAUGAAGUUUAUAAUGAAUGGCUGUAAUACAAUAUACUGUAUGUACUGAAAUGUUGUGGCAACAAUUUAAAUAGAAAUAGGAUGUUAAAAUAUAUACAUGUGCAUAUAUAGCUCUUUUAUUAUGACCUGUGUGUUUUCACCUGUCUUGGAUUACACAAAUUUGCCAUUGUGUUGUGGGGAAUAUAAUUGGUGACUGAAAAACUUGUGUAUAUGAAAAUCAGUUGGUUUAUGAACACUCGUGACUGAUGAUCAAACCUUUGUUAUAAGGAAUUACCUUUACCAGAAAAUUUCAUAAAAUGUUGGAUGUUCAUAUAUAAAAAGAAACUGACACUGCAAAAUGUAAUAAUAAGAAAUAUAGAAAGACAAAUGACAUUUUAUACACAGAAAUUGCAGCAGACGUAAAUUUAGAUAUAUCUCACGGAAAGAAGUACUUUGCCCGUUGCUGUUACAGUAAUGUGAGAUAAGUCAACAAAAUGUGAUAUUCAGAAAUUAUUGAAUAUGGAAAUUUGACUGGUUUCCCGAGGAAUUAAUGUCGCAACUAUAUUGUUUAGCUUGCUAUAAUGGUGUUUCAUAAAGUUUUUGUAUCAGUACCAUCAGAAGCAGUUGCAUUUCUAGGUGCUGUAGGAGCCUUCCUCCUAAUUCUGAUUAUCUUCUUCCUGUACCUAAACAAGGCCCUCUGUUUCUCCUCCUGUGGUGGCUUCCCUUGUCUUGAUAAUAAACCAAAGAAAAAAGAAUCCAGGGCCAGAGGGUUAGGUAAGUAAAAUCUUAUUGAA